AUGGAUCAUUACCGCUUUUUUGCAAAACAAACUCACCAAAAACUGGUCUUCAUUGGUCAUUCGUGACUUUGGGAGCCAUUUUUUGUUGACCCCUUGCGAACCUUUGUUAAAGUCUUUAGUUUGGUCAUUCCCUGUACCUUUGGGCAAGGGGAUGGCCAAACGUAUUUACCAUGAAUUUUUCAUGCCUUUAUUUCUGGUUGUCAAAUCUAAUUGUAUGCAAACUUCAUGUCCAUCGAACCCCAAUAAAAGGCUCUUUUCGAAGGGCCGGCCAUUGACUCGAAAGUGCAUGUCGUUUCCAUGAUCUACCAAUCGUGAUACAACUUUUAACAACGGAUAUCUUGGCUCUC
rnacentral:misc_RNA from 1 species